AUCUCAGUGCAAGGGCUUUACACAUAUCAGUGAGGAUUCGUCCGAGAUUGUGUUUUUGCUAGUUGAAAACUAUCAACGACCUCCUGUUGUUGGCUGCGUGUCGGCAACGAAUUUUUGAACACCUAUAGACCUUUCAUCGUGCCGCUUGCAGUCGUGUUGACUUGCAGG
rnacentral:snRNA from 1 species